CGCUAUCAUCCUACGGGAGGCAGCAGUGGGGAAUAUUGCACAAUGGGGGAAACCCUGAUGCAGCCAUGCCGCGUGUGUGAAGAAGGCCUUCGGGUUGUAAAGCACUUUCAGUUAGGGAGGAAGGUAGUGUAGUUAACACCUGCAUUAUUUGACGUUACCUACAGAAGAAGCACCGGCUAACUCCGUGCCAGCAGCCGCGGUAAUACGGAGGGUGCGAGCGUUAAUCGGAAUUACUGGGCGUAAAGCGCAUGCAGGCGGCCUGUUAAGUCAGAUGUGAAAGCCCGGGGCUUAACCUCGGAAUUGCAUUUGAAACUGGCAGGCUAGAGUCUUGUAGAGGGGGUAGAAUUUCAGGUGUAGCGGUGAAAUGCGUAGAGAUCUGAAGGAAUACCAGUGGCGAAGGCGGCCCCCCUGGACAAAGACUGACGCUCAGAUGCGAAAGCGUGGGGAGCAAACAGGAUUAGAUACCCUGGUAG
rnacentral:rRNA from 1 species